rnacentral:rRNA from 1 species
AUUGAACGCUGGCGGCAUGCCUUACACAUGCAAGUCGAACGGCAGCACGGGAGCAAUCCUGGUGGCGAGUGGCGAACGGGUGAGUAAAGUAUCGGAACGUGCCCAGUCGUGGGGGAUAACGUAGCGAAAGUUACGCUAAUACCGCAUACGAUCUAUGGAUGAAAGCGGGGGAUCGCAAGACCUCGCGCGAUUGGAGCGGCCGAUAUCAGAUUAGGUAGUUGGUGGGGUAAAGGCUCACCAAGCCGACGAUCUGUAGCUGGUCUGAGAGGACGCCCGGCCACACUGGGACUGAGACACGGCGCAGACUCCUACGGGAGGCAGCGGUGGGGAAUUUUGGACAAUGGGCGAAAGCCUGAUCCAGCCAUGCCGCGUGCAGGAUGAAGGCCGUCGGGUUGUAAACUGCUUUUGUACGGAACGAAAAGGUUUGGCCUAAUAAGCUGAGCUCAUGACGGUACCGUAAGAAUAAGCACCGGCUAACUACGUGCCAGCAGCCGCAGUAA